CUUGGCGGCGAAAGACGUGUUUGUGAAACCUUUUGUUAGUGAAGAAGUGAAAAAUGUAAACGCUAUUAAAGGACUUGGGAGGCGAUUCUUUCUCUGUUUUCUGGAAAAUGCAGCUGAAACUUUAAAAAAUUUGAGUGGAAGCAGCUACGAGGAGAAAUUCCUGUUCAACUAGUCGGUCCAGAAGCGGAAGUUUUGGAAGUGUGGCAGAACAAAAUCGAGAACGCUUUUCAGAUCCAGCUUUCGCAAACCACUUUUCGGACUUAUUAAAAGCAGGAGUAAGGAAGCAACAGGAAAUAAACCUGCUCAAAUUUUUGGAAAGCUCUGAAGGUAAG